GCCUGCGUAGCUCAACGGAUAGAGCGCCGAUCUCCUACACCGGAACUGUGCGGGUUCAAACCCGCCGCAGGCACCA
rnacentral:tRNA from 4 species